rnacentral:rRNA from 1 species
UGGGGAAUAUUGGACAAUGGGCGGAAGCCUGAUCCAGCAAUACCGCGUGUGUGAAGAAGGCCUGAGGGUUGUAAAGCACUUUCAAUAGGAAGGAACACCUAUCGGUUAAUACCCGGUAGACUGACAUUACCUAUACAAGAAGCACCGGCUAACUCCGUG